rnacentral:rRNA from 2 species
ACGGGCUUCGGCCUGGUGGCGAGUGGCGAACGGGUGAGUAAUAUAUCGGAACGUACCCAAGAGUGGGGGAUAACGUAGCGAAAGUUACGCUAAUACCGCAUACGAUCUACGGAUGAAAGCAGGGGACCGCAAGGCCUUGUGCUCCUGGAGCGGCCGAUAUCUGAUUAGCUAGUUGGUGAGGUAAAGGCUCACCAAGGCGACGAUCAGUAGCUGGUCUGAGAGGACGACCAGCCACACUGGAACUGAGACACGGUCCAGACUCCUACGGGAGGCAGCAGUGGGGAAUUUUGGACAAUGGGCGCAAGCCUGAUCCAGCAAUGCCGCGUGAGUGAAGAAGGCCUUCGGGUUGUAAAGCUCUUUUGUCAGGGAAGAAACGGUAGAGGCUAAUAUCCUUUGCUAAUGACGGUACCUGAAGAAUAAGCACCGGCUAACUACGUGCCAGCAGCCGCGGUAAUACGUAGGGUGCAAGCGUUAAUCGGAAUUACUGGGCGUAAAGCGUGCGCAGGCGGUUUUGUAAGUCUGUCGUGAAAGCCCCGGGCUCAACCUGGGAAUUGCGAUGGAGACUGCAAGGCUUGAAUCUGGCAGAGGGGGGUAGAAUUCCACGUGUAGCAGUGAAAUGCGUAGAGAUGUGGAGGAACACCGAUGGCGAAGGCAGCCCCCUGGGUCAAGAUUGACGCUCAUGCACGAAAGCGUGGGGAGCAAACAGGAUUAGAUACCCUGGUAGUCCACGCCCUAAACGAUGUCUACUAGUUGUCGGGUUUUAAUUAACUUGGUAACGCAGCUAACGCGUGAAGUAGACCGCCUGGGGAGUACGGUCGCAAGAUUAAAACUCAAAGGAAUUGACGGGGACCCGCACAAGCGGUGGAUGAUGUGGAUUAAUUCGAUGCAACGCGAAAAACCUUACCUACCCUUGACAUGUCAGGAAUCCU